GACGAACGCUGGCGGCGUGCUUAACACAUGCAAGUCGAACGGAGAGGCCCUGCUUGCAGGGUACUCGAGUGGCGAACGGGUGAGUAACACGUGGGUGAUCUGCCCUGCACGUCGGGAUAAGCCUGGGAAACUGGGUCUAAUACCGGAUAGGAGCCAUUUUUAGUGUGAUGGUUGGAAAGUUUUUUCGGUGUAGGAUGAGCUCGCGGCCUAUCAGCUUGUUGGUGGGGUAAUGGCCUACCAAGGCGGCGACGGGUAGCCGGCCUGAGAGGGUGGACGGCCACAUUGGGACUGAGAGACGGCCCAGACUCCUACGGGAGGCAGCAGUGGGGAAUAUUGCACAAUGGGCGCAAGCCUGAUGCAGCGACGCCGCGUGGGGGAUGACGGCCUUCGGGUUGUAAACUCCUUUCGCUAGGGACGAAGCUUUUUGUGACGGUACCUAGAUAAGAAGCACCGGCUAACUACGUG
rnacentral:rRNA from 1 species